rnacentral:rRNA from 1 species
UACGUAGGGUGCAAGCGUUGUCCGGAAUUAUUGGGCGUAAAGAGCUCGUAGGCGGUCUGUCGCGUCGGCUGUGAAAACCCGGAGCUCAACUCCGGGCCUGCAGUCGAUACGGGCAGACUGGAGUUCGGCAGGGGAGACUGGAAUUCCUGGUGUAGCGGUGAAAUGCGCAGAUAUCAGGAGGAACACCGGUGGCGAAAGGCGGGUCUCUGGGGCCGAUGACUGACGCUGAGGAGCGAAAGCGUGGGGAGCGAACAGG